UCAUCGUACAUCAGCCAAGAAAUUCAUCCUACUCAUCAAGUCUACCAAAUAUUUAUAAACAGGAAAAAUUGAAUGUGUUACUAGCCAGAGCUAUAUAUGCCUCAGACGCUGCUUUUUCUAUCCUGGAUAAUGAGUACUGGAGAGAAGUUUUCAAAGAGCUUCGUCCAUGCUGGAAGAUUCCUUCGAGUUAUAUGUUCAAAACGAACCGAUCGUCAACUUCGUUCUUUUUAAUGUUGGUAAACCUCUUCUGUAUAAAACAAUGCCAACAGGAGAAAAUCGUCACACAGUUUAAUAUUUGGCGGAACUAAUGUCCGAAGUCAUCGAAGAAGUCGGCCCGAAUAAAAUAUUCGCUGUCAUUACUUACAAUGAUGCAGCUAUGAUCAAAGCAUGAGAAAUUAUUCAACGGAAAUAUCCUCACAUUGAAGUGUAUAGUUGUGCGGCGCACUCGUUAAACUUGGUUGUCAAAGACAUCCUGGAAAUGCAGUCUUUCAAAGCCCGGUAACAAGCGUUGAAUUCAGAAAAAUUAAGAACUUGU